rnacentral:rRNA from 1 species
GGGUUGUGAGGUUAAGCGACUAAGCGUACACGGUGGAUGCCCUGGCAGUCAGAGGCGAUGAAGGACGUGCUAAUCUGCGAUAAGCGUCGGUAAGGUGAUAUGAACCGUUAUAACCGGCGAUUUCCGAAUGGGGAAACCCAGUGUGUUUCGACACACUAUCAUUAACUGAAUCCAUAGGUUAAUGAGGCGAACCGGGGGAACUGAAACAUCUAAGUACCCCGAGGAAAAGAAAUCAACCGAGAUUCCCCCAGUAGCGGCGAGCGAACGGGGAGCAGCCCAGAGCCUGAAUCAGUGUGUGUGUUAGUGGAAGCGUCUGGAAAGGCGCGCGAUACAGGGUGACAGCCCCGUACACAAAAAUGCACAUGCUGUGAGCUCGAUGAGUAGGGCGGGACACGUGGUAUCCUGUCUGAAUAUGGGGGGACCAUCCUCCAAGGCUAAAUACUCCUGACUGACCGAUAGUGAACCAGUACCGUGAGGGAAAGGCGAAAAGAACCCCGGCGAGGGGAGUGAAAAAGAACCUGAAACCGUGUACGUACAAGCAGUGGGAGCACGCUUAGGCGUGUGACUGCGUACCUUUUGUAUAAUGGGUCAGCGACUUAUAUUCUGUAGCAAGGUUAACCGAAUAGGGGAGCCGAAGGGAAACCGAGUCUUAACUGGGCGUUAAGUUGCAGGGUAUAGACCCGAAACCCGGUGAUCUAGCCAUGGGCAGGUUGAAGGUUGGGUAACACUAACUGGAGGACCGAACCGACUAAUGUUGAAAAAUUAGCGGAUGACUUGUGGCUGGGGGUGAAAGGCCAAUCAAACCGGGAGAUAGCUGGUUCUCCCCGAAAGCUAUUUAGGUAGCGCCUCGUGAAUUCAUCUCCGGGGGUAGAGCACUGUUUCGGCAAGGGGGUCAUCCCGACUUACCAACCCGAUGCAAACUGCGAAUACCGGAGAAUGUUAUCACGGGAGACACACGGCGGGUGCUAACGUCCGUCGUGAAGAGGGAAACAACCCAGACCGCCAGCUAAGGUCCCAAAGUCAUGGUUAAGUGGGAAACGAUGUGGGAAGGCCCAGACAGCCAGGAUGUUGGCUUAGAAGCAGCCAUCAUUUAAAGAAAGCGUAAUAGCUCACUGGUCGAGUCGGCCUGCGCGGAAGAUGUAACGGGGCUAAACCAUGCACCGAAGCUGCGGCAGCGACGCUGAUGCGUUGUUGGGUAGGGGAGCGUUCUGUAAGCCUGCGAAGGUGUGCUGUGAGGCAUGCUGGAGGUAUCAGAAGUGCGAAUGCUGACAUAAGUAACGAUAAAGCGGGUGAAAAGCCCGCUCGCCGGAAGACCAAGGGUUCCUGUCCAACGUUAAUCGGGGCAGGGUGAGUCGACCCCUAAGGCGAGGCCGAAAGGCGUAGUCGAUGGGAAACAGGUUAAUAUUCCUGUACUUGGUGUUACUGCGAAGGGGGGACGGAGAAGGCUAUGUUGGCCGGGCGACGGUUGUCCCGGUUUAAGCGUGUAGGCUGGUUUUCCAGGCAAAUCCGGAAAAUCAAGGCUGAGGCGUGAUGACGAGGCACUACGGUGCUGAAGCAACAAAUGCCCUGCUUCCAGGAAAAGCCUCUAAGCAUCAGGUAACAUCAAAUCGUACCCCAAACCGACACAGGUGGUCAGGUAGAGAAUACCAAGGCGCUUGAGAGAACUCGGGUGAAGGAACUAGGCAAAAUGGUGCCGUAACUUCGGGAGAAGGCACGCUGAUAUGUAGGUGANNNNNNNNNNNNNNNNNNNNNNNNNNNNNNNNNNNNNNNNNNNNNNNNNNNNNNNNNNNNNNNNNNNNNNNNNNNNNNNNNNNNNNNGCGAAGCUCUUGAUCGAAGCCCCGGUAAACGGCGGCCGUAACUAUAACGGUCCUAAGGUAGCGAAAUUCCUUGUCGGGUAAGUUCCGACCUGCACGAAUGGCGUAAUGAUGGCCAGGCUGUCUCCACCCGAGACUCAGUGAAAUUGAACUCGCUGUGAAGAUGCAGUGUACCCGCGGCAAGACGGAAAGACCCCGUGAACCUUUACUAUAGCUUGACACUGAACAUUGAGCCUUGAUGUGUAGGAUAGGUGGGAGGCUUUGAAGUGUGGACGCCAGUCUGCAUGGAGCCGACCUUGAAAUACCACCCUUUAAUGUUUGAUGUUCUAACGUUGACCCGUAAUCCGGGUUGCGGACAGUGUCUGGUGGGUAGUUUGACUGGGGCGGUCUCCUCCUAAAGAGUAACGGAGGAGCACGAAGGUUGGCUAAUCCUGGUCGGACAUCAGGAGGUUAGUGCAAUGGCAUAAGCCAGCUUGACUGCGAGCGUGACGGCGCGAGCAGGUGCGAAAGCAGGUCAUAGUGAUCCGGUGGUUCUGAAUGGAAGGGCCAUCGCUCAACGGAUAAAAGGUACUCCGGGGAUAACAGGCUGAUACCGCCCAAGAGUUCAUAUCGACGGCGGUGUUUGGCACCUCGAUGUCGGCUCAUCACAUCCUGGGGCUGAAGUAGGUCCCAAGGGUAUGGCUGUUCGCCAUUUAAAGUGGUACGCGAGCUGGGUUUAGAACGUCGUGAGACAGUUCGGUCCCUAUCUGCCGUGGGCGCUGGAGAACUGAGGGGGGCUGCUCCUAGUACGAGAGGACCGGAGUGGACGCAUCACUGGUGUUCGGGUUGUCAUGCCAAUGGCACUGCCCGGUAGCUAAAUGCGGAAGAGAUAAGUGCUGAAAGCAUCUAAGCACGAAACUUGCCCCGAGAUGAGUUCUCCCUGAC